UGGCAGAGGAAUUCCUAAUCAGCUGCAUUCAUGUAUCAACAUAUAAAAAAACAAUGAAUUGAGUUAGAAUCAUAAAACAAACUAUAAGUUAGCCUAGUAAAAAAUGAACUACAAUUAUAAAAAUCCACAAAAUUUUCCUGGUUCUUUUUCUUUUGUCUUUGCUGCAUCACAUAUUAAAUUCCAACCAAGCAUCUUAUCUCAACUUCACUGCUCAAUCUCUUCCCAACAAUUUCAGGAAACUGGCCAAGAUGUUCAUGAAGAAACUAGCAUAUUUUCAAGGUAGCAUUCAAAACCUAUUUCCAAAAGAACAAGUCAACUCCAAAAGGAGCUUUUUUCUGUUUUGAUCCUAAUAUAACUACUGGCAGAAUUGUAUUUUAUCAUACUGGAAGAGGGAUCAUCCAAUAAAAGCUGGGCCAAAUAAUUAUUGAACACAACUUAUAAUAACUUUAUUCACCAAGAUCAAUAUCCAAAUAA
rnacentral:misc_RNA from 1 species